rnacentral:tRNA from 1 species
GGAAGUGUGCCUGAAAACUAAAGGGUCACUUUGAUAGAGUGAAUCAUGGGAGUUAGAGCCUCUCCACUUCCU